UGUCGUCAGCUCGUGUUGUGAAAUGUUGGGUUAAGUCCCGCAACGAGCGCAACCCUUAUCCUUUGUUGCCAGCGGUUAGGCCGGGAACUCAAAGGAGACUGCCAGUGAUAAACUGGAGGAAGGUGGGGAUGACGUCAAGUCAUCAUGGCCCUUACGACCAGGGCUACACACGUGCUACAAUGGCAUAUACAAAGAGAAGCGACCUCGCGAGAGCAAGCGGACCUCAUAAAGUAUGUCGUAGUCCGGAUUGGAGUCUGCAACUCGACUCCAUGAAGUCGGAAUCGCUAGUAAUCGUGGAUCAGAAUGCCACGGUGAAUACGUUCCCGGGCCUUGUACACACCGCCCGUCACACCAUGGGAGUGGGUUGCAAAAGAAGUAGGUAGCUUAACCUUCGGGAGGGCGCUUACCACUUUGUGAUUCAUGACUGGGGUGAAGUCGUAACAAGGUAACCGUAGGGGAACCUGCGGUUGGAUCACCUCCUUACCUUA
rnacentral:rRNA from 1 species